AUGGCCUCCACAAGCCAUAUUCACAUGCUCAGCCUUGCCCAGGCUCUAGGAUAUACCUAGAGAGCCAGCAAGAGGUCCCCUCAACUCCAGUGCCAGCCCAGAACUGUCCCGGUUUGCUGCCCACACACCCACAAGCUCACCACAAGACCUGUGCUCCCCAUGCACAGGAUUCCCCAGGCACACUCUCCUGAGUGUGCUCCCUUCACCUGGAUGUCACACAUCCCCCAUUUUGCCAAGCUGAAGUAUGUCUGUCUGUCUUUCUUUCUUUAAAUUGACCACCUUUUCUUUUUUAUCAUUGAAAAAAAAUCAGAUAACUGUGCACAGCCAGCUACAAGAACAUCAUCCCACAAAGGUUAUAUAAUAAAAACACAAGACGCUGUUUUUUCCCAGAGCCCCACAUCCUAUGCAACUGCUGCCCAGAGUCCCCAGGUCCCCUUCCCAAAAGUCCUCUACAUGCACAAGCUGACCAGUGGCUAACUGAGCCAGUUUUUACAAUCUCUCCACCCAGGCUUUCAUGGCUACCUUCUUGCUCUCCUGGCUUUUCCUUACACCAAGGGAUCUAUCUUGCCAAAGAGGCAUAGAGAUGACUUAGACUAGAUGGCAGACUUUGGUUUCCUUGUCGGAGGGGAAGGGGUCGAGGAGGAAGAGAAAGGAAGAAGGGGAAGGGGUGGGAAUAGAGAAGGAGAGAUUGGCCAUGCUUGCCUCUCUCCUUAUACUCAGGCACGAUUGUGUGAUUUGGGGUUACAGCAGCCAUUUUAGGACAAUGAGGGGGAAAGAUGAAAUGAGAGAAAACAGAAUAAAACAAAACAAAGACAAAACAACAGCAACAACAACAACAACAAAACAUGUUUCAUGGACAGAUAGCAGAAGAACCUGAACUUUGAAGAUCUUAUUAAACAGCAAAACUAUGCCCUGACUGCCUGCCUCCAGAUGGCACUGCAUAAGAAAAACCAAUCUUUAUGUUCCCUGUCAAUCACGGCCCAUCAGGUUUUCUGUUAGCCUACAUGAUGACUACACUGGUUUGAAUGAGACUGUCCCCCACAGGUUGUGUGUUUGUAUACUUGGUUCCCAGCAGGUGGCGCUGUUUGGGAAGGCUUAGGAAGUGCAGCAUUGUUGGAGGAAGGACGUCACUGGAGGGUGGCUUGGAGCAUUUGAAGACAUGCGCCAUUUCUAAGCCACUCUCUCCGCUUUGUGUUAGUGGUUCAAAAUAUAAACUCUCAGCUUCCUGCUUCACCUGCCAUGCCUGCCAUUCCCCUAGCAUGACAGACUCUUAUCCCACUGGAACCUUAAGCCCAAAUAAACCCUUUCUUUUAUAAGUUGCCUUCUAUACGUUAUCUAUAGUGUUUUAUCCCAGUAAUAGAAAAGUAACAACAGAGUGGCCCACCCCAUGUGAGAUGAUUGUACUCUACCAUAUGUGUGGAUUCCCCCUUCUAAAUGGGGUUUUAUUCACUCAUCAGUGGGACCUUCAAGUAUUUUCUACACAAGCCUAUCCACCUCUGUUGUACAUCCUCAGAGUAUCCCACUAUGCAGCUAUCUGUCCUAAAGCAAAUGGGCAGACAUCCUCACUGCCUCCUUGCAGUGUUGACCUGCCAUAGGGCAACAGACUUGUCUGGGUCUACGUGUCCAUGCUUGUGUGCACUGCCUGAAACAGAAGGAGGCCAGGACCAUGCCCUUUCACCUGUCCAUAUCCCUUACUGUUUACCAGAGGACUCCUCCCUAACUCUCCUGGGAGGAACACGUCUGUGGGCUCAUGAUCUGAGUUCCCUUUUCCUCUACUCAAUCCCAUGUCUAACUGAGUCCUGAGACACCCUUGCUUCUGCCCGAGCCUUGGCAUUCCCUAACCUGGAUCCCACCUGGACUAAGCGGUUUUAAGCUUCUUUCUCCAGGACAGAACCCCAUGCUUGCUCUGCUCAGGGCCGCUCUAGCCCCAUCCGACUGAACACCCAGGUAUGCUCUCCUGUUGUGCCCCUUUACAACAUUUCCAGAACCUGCCCCUUCCUGCUCUGGUGGAACUGGCUUCCAUCACGUGGAAGGAGACCGAGACCAUGACAAUUCCUGCAGGAAACAAUAUGCCCCUCCACAUUCCACCAUCAGUCAGACUCUGGCUUCUGGUUUCAGUACCUGUAACUAAGCUGGAAAAUUCACACCAGAAAACUAAACUGACACCCUAACCUAAAUCCCACUCGGUGACAGAAGUUGACGGUUGCCACUGCUGGGAGGGGAGGAGUACAUGAGAGACAGAUGUCUCAUAGCAGUGGGCAAACAUGCCGAUUUGCCUACCCACAAAGGCAAGGGAGUUAGCACACCAUCAGAUCAGCCUGGCUUCUUACCACUGGCCUGUGCUCAGUCAGCCUGGUUAUGCAAAAAACCUAAGCUUCCAGCAAAGGGCAUUGUCUCCAAAGGUCAGUUUCAGGGUAUAGUCCUCUCUCCCAGGGAAAAUGACAUCUUUCCUACCUGCAGAAUUACAAAGCCGAUUCUAGCCUGUGGCCUUCUUCCCAGCUGCCUCUGUUCUUCACUCACCCCUCUGGGCAAUCGUGCCUGGUACUGCCUGGAACAUCAGGAAAGAGAGAGGCUUCAAAGCCCAUCUGGUCUAAUCUAGGUCACAAAAGAUCAAAAAGUUACCCAGUCACUUAAUCUCAGGACCAAAAACUGGCAGAUCCCUAGAGCUCGCUGGACACCCAGCAUAGCUUACUGGAUGAGUUCUGGGAGAUGUUAAGACACCCUGUUUUAAAAUACAAGGUAGAUGGCUCCUGAGAAAUGACGCUAAAGGUUGACCUCUGACCUCCACACACACAUCAGAGGCUGCUCCUGAAUGCAUAGCUGGGGAGGGACAGAAGCAGAGUCCAAAGUUGGCCACCUGGCUGCUCCCUGCCUUCGGUACCCCAUGACGCUACUGUUAGGACAAGAGUGAAGACCAUGGGUCUGAGAGGAAGAGAGGUGAGGUGUGUUUGGGACAGGGAUGGGUAAUACCGAAAAUGCAAAUAAAAGACCCAAGCAGGUGUUCAGCAAAAGUGCCUUUCCCUUGAGUGAGGAAGUGUUCAGAAAGAGAAAGGACCAAGACGUCAGCAGGACCCAAACCCAAAUCUGGAACAGUUAGAGGAAUGAAUAGGGCAAGGACUGUAUUCUAGCCCAGAGUAUAAAAUAAACACCUAGGAACCCAUGUCCAUGGAUAUAAACUAUUGAUAAGUACACAACGGGGAGCGGACCAUGUGACUGUCCAUGUUUUAGGUGGCUUUGCUCUUCCCUCUCAGGGGUGGAGACCGGCCACCCCCAGCCCCAGCUCAACAUUACUUGGCCUCCGGAGAACAUAUGGAGGGAAGGUUGUGCUACAAGGGAGCUCUGGACUGUGGGGAAAUCUGAUGAACAUGCACAGCUAAGAGACGGAGGUCAACACCAACAGCGAUAGGUCACUGGGACGUUGUGUGCUCCCACAGUGAUAGGUGACCAUGACAGUGUGUGCUCCCUUCAUGCUGCAGUGAAGACGUCUCUCCUGUAAGAAAAAUACCUGAUCAAUGCUCCCCCAAACCCUUGCACCAUCCAGGAGGACAAAGAAAAUCUGAGAAACUGUCACAGGCCAGAGGUCAGGUGAUGAUACAACCAUGGAGGGGGAUUCUGGGACAGAAGAAACACUUACGGGGAAAUAAGUGAAGUUGAAAUAGACUGCCCGAUGUUGUCGUGGGUUCCUUGGUAACAGAUGUGCUUCAGUGAUGGGCUAGAGUGGUGGAGGGUUCCUACCCAUCCUCCCUCUCAUUCUAUAGCUGCGUGACUAUUUUGAGAAAUGGGUUUGUGGUAAAUAAUCAUUCAGAAUAGCAAUGUCUCACAGUCACCAGGGAAUGGCUGUGUAAUUCCUGGAGAUACCCUGGGCCUGAGCCUGAGUGUCUGGAUGCUGAAAGGCUCCUUCCUGGAGUCAAAGGGAAUCAGGAAGAACUCUAGAAGUCUCGGUAGGAUGCCAGAGCGCUGCCCUAAACAACCACUGACUCCCUGCCCACUAACCCCAGGCACUUCUACCUAGCCACGGGUGUAAUCCGGUGGGCCAGGGGUUCAAAUUUCCUCCGGGGUGUGAAAAUGCAAAGUGACCUGGGCCAGCAGGUGUACUCUUUCAUCCAGCUGGGGUCACUGUCCCCUAAGAGGCCCCAAGGCAGGCCCUUCUGGUCACAUGAAGCCUCUUAAACCUCAAACUCCUAGGGACCUGAAUGCAUUCCAAGAGGCUGACCCAGCAACACUGGAGCUCCAGCUGAGGGCCUGGCAGUCCCAGCCCUACUUUGCUGGGCAGAGGACACAGGCAUUUCCAAGGCACCCUGGACUCCUGCCAGUGAGUCCCCAGAUGCCAUGCAAGACACACCUGACCGAGACUUCCAGCCUCCAGAACUGCAAGACAGUGGAUUCCAAUGUUUAAACUACUCUCUCCUGUUUCAACAAUGGCUCCUGGAAAAUGGCAUAACUGUCAGGGGUACACCUUUUUAUCAGGCUCGAUGACCCCAUCAACUAACCCGAACUUCAGGAGACCACUCUGUGAGCCUUCUCUGUGCGGGUGGGCAUUUGAGGUGCUUGUCUAUGCCAGCUUGUGAUCCAGAGACUUGGACAAAUCUCUCCCAUUUCUGGGCUUGCGGGAGGAAGGGAGGUCUCUCCCCAAGAGUGAACAACGGCCUAACGGAACUCAAGAUAGGUGACAACUAUCGAUGCCUCGAAUCUACACCCUUGCCACUCUGUCUACGAAGAUUAGAUAGUGAGAGCUUGGUCACUGGACUCCAGACACUUAAUAUCUCCUUCCCCCUUGUCUGUGUUCACAGUGUGUGAACAGUGUUUGUGAUACAAAUGACUGGCCUGUUCUCAGCCCCUUCCACUGAUUCCUCCACAAGCACUCCCAUCAGGCAAGUUGACAAUAUGGUGGCCCGGGUUUAGCUCAAACUCUCUUAGGUCUUGAAUGCCCCAGUUCCUGUUUUUCACUCUGGCUAACUAGUGGCAACCGUCAGUGCCCCUGUAUUUUCUAGAGAGAAGCCCUGGUAGCUGAAGGGCUUUUCUCCCCAUUUCCUUGCUGUUUCCGAGCAGUUCACUAAGCAGGACAAUAUAAUUACACUAUCCCAUGCACCCCAAUAUCUAAUCUCUGGAACCUACUAUAGUAAGAGUAACUGUAGUAAGUGUGCUAUAGUGAGAGUUAAAAGGCUGGUUGCUUCCAGCACAGUUUGCAUAGAGGUGGAGGAUUAACAGAAGUAUGGAGUCUUAAUGAAUGGGAGAGCCUUUAGCUGGCGGCAUAGCUGCACCUGUGAACAAUGUUUGCAAACCAUGUUUCAUAAGUUAGCAUCUGGCAAACAGGACCCAGACCCAAACUAUAAAGAUUCCUAUCCCUAAAAGGUCUUCCAGCCAGUCAACCAAUACCUCAAAGCUACAAGUCUCAGGAGAAAAGUCCUUCAGAACUGCUUCCUAAAUGAGUGCUCUCUGGAUGGGAGCUGAUGCUCUGAGGGCUGAAAAGAGUGAAUCCUGACUAUUCCUCCACUCUCCUCCUGCUGACAUCAGCCUCACCUGCCCGGGUCCCCAGAACUUCUCUCCUACUAAAUUUUCCUGUCCACCCUAACCAGUCUCAGCUUUGGAAAAGAGGACCCAAACCUCUUCGAGUAUGCUGCUGCAAACCCUACAUGGUCUCCACAAAGCGGGAAGAAAUGAGGGAGAAGCAUGAGUUAACUGACAGGGCUGGGAUUCUGAGCAAAAGUUCCCAGUGAUCAGAGACUCAGCCAGACAGCCCUUCAUGUGUGUGUUGGGAGUGUGGGGUGUCAAGAACAUGUACAAAUGUGUGAGUGCCUGUGUGGAGGCCAGAGAUGUGGGCUGAAUGUCUUCCUCAAUCACUCGCCACCUUAGCCUUUGAGAAAGGAGCCUCGAACUUACUGAUUCAGCCAGACUGGUUAACCAGCAAUCCCCAGUGAUUCACCUGACAUCAGUUCCUCCAGCAAGGAUUAUAGGUCCCUAUCUCUGCAAUCAGUCUUUUUUAUGUGCAUACCAGGAGUUGAACUCAAAUACUCAUGUUUGCAUGGCAAACAUUUUGUUCACUGAGGCUUCUCCCCAGUCUCUAGACAACGACUUUUGCCUGGUGUCCCCAGGAAAAAGGAAUCCAGAAGGAUUCAGUGCAGAAGCAACUUAGUCGAGGUACGGCUGGAAAGUUGUAUUUUAAAGUAGCAUAACGCUUUUUCUCUGCUUUCAUUUACAGAGUUUGUGAAUAUCCCAGACAAUGUAAGUAUCAAAUCUAAGGCAUAUCACUCUCCUCUCUGCCCCUUCCCUCAGUCCACCUCUUUCUUCCCCUUUUCUGUUUCCACACUCACCUUGCAGACUGGGCUUGGGGUCCUCACCUCAACUAAGUCUCUCAGCAUCUACAAGUGAAUUUUAUUAAUUUGGAAAAGAUUUAUCAGUGCAGAGGUUAAUUGUCUUUCCCUGACAUGAAUACUUCUGGGUGACAAAAUUAAUUUCCUCAUUAGCUAUUUUUGAAAGUGGAACAUGCUGGGGCGGGGGGGGGGGGACAAGUAUAGGGAGACUAUGGGCAGUACACGAGGCUCUCCCUGGGUCAGUACACGAGGCUCUCCUUGGGUCACCUCCCAGCACUCGCCCCACCCAGCAGCCAGGGCACCCAGGCCAGAGGUCAGUGGUCCAAAAAUGACUCCCAAGGAUGACUAGGCUGAGGUAAGUGGAGGCUUUGGGGAAGGGACUUGAAGUCUACCUGACCAGCCCCUCACCCUUCCUCCCCUGUACAGGAAGCUGCCUUGUGCUUGAACAACCCAAUCUUGGCUCUUUCGAGCAGAGCAGGAGUUUCAGAAAGAGAUGAUGCCCUAAACAGGCCAUUUCUGAGAUCUGUCUAGCCUGGUCUAGAAAGAAAAGCCAAGUUUAUUCCGAAGGCAGGGCAUCUAUGGCCUCCCACAUACCCUCCCAUGGAAACAUCCCAGAACCCUGCACUAAAGCCAGUCUCACUGGGAGAGAAAAUGGGGUAAGAGGUGAGCCAGCCCUGACUCAAAGUGGAGAUCAGUCAAGUCGUCUGUGAAAAACGAUUACCCGUGAGUGGGCAGCAGAUUGGGUUCUUGGGCCACGACUUACCUUCUCUAGGCCUGUUUAUAAAGCAGUAAUCCUCAACCUAUGGGUCUCAACCCUUCUGGAGGUCUAAUAACUCUUUCACGGGGGUCGCAUAUCCAGUAUCCUGUAUAUCGGAUAUACAUUACAAUUCAUUACAAUAGCAAAAUUACAGUUAUGAAAUAGCAAGGUAAAUAAUUUUAUGGUUGGGGGUCACCACAACCUAAGGAUCUGUAUUAAAGGGUCACAGCAUUAGGAAAGUUAAGAAGCACUGACGUAGAGGGAAUGGCUGCCCAGAGACCCAAUUCCUAACCCCACAGACCACCCAGACAUGGGAGUCUCUGACUACCUCAACCUCUCCUGCUCUCCUCUUCCAGAGACACCCUGUAGAUACUUUCCAGCCAAGACUGUCCAAGAGAGAGAUAAUGAAAAUAUUCAAUAUACAGUGUACAGAUAUUCCCAUUUGUUUCCAGGCAGCCACAUGCUACUGCCCCAUUCUCUCAGAAAAGGAAACAGAAACCCACUAGGUCAGAAGACUGUCAUGGGUCACCAGCAGGGACAAAGUCCAGACUGACCUCUCCGAGCGUUCCCCAUGCUAUCUUGAUCUCCGUGGGAGACUCCAGGCGCCUGUGUCAUGCCAGACCUCUCUAAGUAACCUGGAAUUCCUGUGCAAUCCCUACUCUCUUGGAGAACCCCAAAUCUUUGUGUCAUUCCCAACCUUCAGGAGAUCUAAUUCCCCAUGCUAUCCCUGAUUUUCUGAGAAACCUGGACUCCCUUGUUAUCAAUGAUCUCCUUGGAAACCAAGCCUCAUUCCUCCUUUGACCUUCUUAUUGAUCCCAGUUCCCAUACCAGAAGCAUCAGACCAUCAUGUUAUCUCUGACCCCAGCCCCCAAAUGAUAUUCGUUCUGUGUGGCUGUCCCUGCUUGUCCAAACUGUCCUCCAGGACCCUCCCCUCCACAAGCAGGAGUGCCAGGCUUCCAUUUCAAGGGAAUUGUGCUGAGCCGUUCUUUGACAGUUCUGUCACUCAGCCCCCAUCUGCUUUAAGCCCUGCAAAGCCAUCUGCACAGUUCCAGGCUCUGUGACAGGGUCACUGCCAUCACUAGUCUGCAGGGUGUCUGGAACUCCAACUUCCUUGUAGACUCUACACUGUAGAGAGAUGGGACAAGGAAGAAAUGUUCUUGGUCCCCCUAAGUAGGAAGCGCCUAGCUUUCCCACCUACUGUGACCAGGAAUGAGACUCAGGGAAUGAGCCUCACACCUCAACGAAGCCCAUGGAUGAAGGAAAUGACUCAUGAGACAAGGGAAACUAUUGAAGGCUUCCUGGAGGUGCCAUUGUGUAGCUGGAUUCACGAAGAGAAGUCUGCCAUACCAAAGAGGCAGAGUAUGACAAAGGCCAGAAAUCCCAGCAGCCCUGGGACUAGUCCAUUUGUGGAUUCGUUGCAUUGCUCCCCCAUAACUCGGUAGGCAUCUGAAAUGGGAGGUUGAAAAUGGGGACCCACAGAGAGAGGACUCCUGGGUCUGUGCAGAAGCCCACUCAGUUGUCAGAGCCACAGUGACACCUCACCUAGAAGGAACACCCGCGAGCAGAGGCUUUCUAGUGGGACCGUCUCCUCAAGAAAGAAGCGUGGAGUUCGGUCUGCAAAGUGCUCACGGAUUUGGAAAGCCCGAGGACCUAAGUUUGAGUCCCCAGAAUGCUCGCAUUUGCAAUUUUUAAAGCUGGGCGUGGUGAUGGGUUCAUAUAUUCCCAGUGCUGAGGAGGUAGAAACUGACAGAUGCCCAAGGCUCACUGUCCAGUUAGUCUAAGCUAUUCGGUGAGUACCAGGCCAACGAGAGAAUCUGUCUCAACAAAGAUAAAAGAAGCUGAGCAUAGUAGCUGCUACCUUUAACCCCUACACUCAGGAAGCAGAGGCAGGUGGAUCUCUGAGAGUUUGAGGCCAACCUGGUCUACACAGUGAGUUCCAAGCUAACCAGGGCUACCAAGUAAAACCUGGUCUCAGAAACAUAAAAAUUGUUUAAAGCACAAACAGUACCUGAGCAACAACAGAUGAGGUUGUACUAUGGCCUCCAUAUGCAUGUAAAUGCAUGUACACACACACACACACACACACACAGAGAGAGAGAGAGAAAGAGAGAGAGAGAGAGAGAGAGAGUCAUUGGAGAGAAAUUGGCAAUUGGCAACCAUUGGCAAGUGACUUCUUAGACUUCAGAGAGGAAAUUGGAACCCCAAGCCCAGUGAGCAUAUGACAUCCUGGGCAAUGAAGUGGCCCAAGAGAUGUUAUGGACCCAGAAAAGGGUAGAUGGUAAAGGUGACCAGCCCAGACAAAAGCAAGCAUAGUAUCACAGAGUACUGAGGGAGUACAUGGGGAAUAGCAUUAACUGCCCAGACCACAUGCCUGGAUCAUACAAAUCUGACUGACGAUUCCACGGAUGUCUCUGGGAAUGCACCUGGUGGCCUACAUCAACUCCAUUCGUGGGCAUCUGGAUGCUUCUAGGUGACCUGGGACACUUCCGUUUCAAAGCCAGCAGAGGAUGAGCCGCUCAGUGAGAAACCCAAGAAGAGGGAAGAAAACAUGUGGACACUGAGCAUGUUGCUAAGAGCCAUUGGUUGCUAAGAAAAGGCAGCCAGGUGGAGAGCUAAAACUACACCUGGACCUAUAGCGGAAUUGCAGUGCCGAGCCACUAGUGGUUACAAGUACCUUCUCAGUGGCCCAGAGGCACAGCUGCCUAGGACACCACCCCUGGUAGUGUUUAUUCUUCACAAUUCAUAUCUACUAACAGAUUAAUAAAAAUCUACUAAUGGUGUCAUAGAAAGGGCCAGCUGAGAGGUAUGUAGAGGCCAGAUGGCUGGCCCGAUCCCCCAGGCCCUGGGCCUGAGGCUUCAAGCCAGGCCUUGCAUCCCACCCCUUACACAAGUUCCUAGGUGACUGUGCUCCCUCUAGUCCUUAUUCUACUGUCUGGGGACUCUGCUGUCCACACAGGGCCCCACCCCUGCAGAGAAGCCUCUGGAUAGAGAGACACCCUCAAAUAGUGAUUGCUGGCUUGGGAGCAGCUCCAAAACACGAUUCCACUGCAUAAAGCGAGAAUACCGAGUAGACACGUCUCAAGCGUUCGGUCUGGAGGAGUAAUUUGCUCCAGUGGGGGAAUUUCCUUCUCUUCAUUUUUGGAAAUGCCAAGAAACAACAUUUUAAGUAUGAUCAGAUAGCCCAGUUCAGUGGCCUAGCACACUCACCCACCACACCUCAGAGAACAAGAGCCCAGGGUUCCCCGUGAAAGGAACCAAGCUCAGACUUCUCAAAACAUGAAACCAUUUAUUUUGGCUUCAGAAAAAAAAAAUCCCUUAUGUCACACAUAUACACACGCAUACAGCUUUCAGUUCAUCAUGUGUAUGUGUCCCAGAACCUCUUCUGUGUCACUCAUACGGGCCCAGGGGACAGACCCAGGCUGGGUGGAGGUGCCCGUCUCUGUUCGACACAGGGUAUGCCCCAGUCUUCACGUCGCGCCUGCCACAGCUGGUGAAUCACUUGGACUGUGCACUUUCCCAGUUACUGUAGUUCUAGAAGCUGACUGAAAAAACCAGUAGCAGCUGGCAGGAAAUGAGUGAGAAAACUGACCACAGAUAAAAUGCAAUGCUCUACAGGAGCGGCAGAUAGACUCCAGACCAGGAAGUUAUGCUAGCAGGACUCAAGGCUGAAAGGACACAGACCCCAACAGGACCCCAGAACCCGCUGUGGGGACUGGUGCUAUGACUUCACAGUGGGACCGGGCUCUAUCCAACGCGAGCACAUCCGGGCACAGCCAUAUCCACUGGAGGAGAAAGGGGACUUCAGAAAAGAUAAGCACCAAGCCGAGUCCUGGCCUCUGGGGUUCCCAGCAUCCCAAACAAAGACCAAAGCUACAAUGACCUGGAUAUGAUCUAACAGGCUGGGUUACCAUUACCUAUGAACUCUCUAAUGAGGGUCCCUGGAGGGGAAAAAGAAAAAAAGACCUGUUCUAGAGCUCAAGAAGUACAUGAGAAUGGUGACAAGUCCAGAGAGUCUGACCUUCCGGAUCUCUACAUCUUCUUGACAGACUCAGAUGGCACAGCUCUGUGUGAUACAAAACAUGAUCUCUGGGCAGCAGAACAGACCCUUCCCAUGUGUGGCCCUCCUUCAGACUUUCUGGCAUCGUUGAUGGGUCAGAUAAUCCUGUGUUGUCUCACAUUUCAGAAGAGCAAGCAUGGCCUGUAAGCCAGAUGUGUAAGCAGGGUGCUCCCUAUGCACUGGAUGCUAAUGGCCUCUCUUGAGCAAUGAGACAUUGGUUGCUAAGAAAAGGCAGCCAGGUAGAGAGCUAAAACUACACCUGGACCUACAGCAGAAUUGCAGUGCCGAGCCACUAGUGGUUACAAGUACCUUCUCAGUGGCCCAGAGGCACAGCUGCCUAGGACACCCUGGUAGUCCCUUUCCUGAUAGCAGCUACCUUUUUCACACCUAAAGUAGACCCAGGAGUUCUUCUGAGAGCUGCCACGGCAGGAAGUGACCAAGCUGUGAGCCACCAGCUUCACUGUGAUGUGCGCGCACUUUCCGAUGAGUUGCCAUGACAAGGGGCAGUAGCAGCUGCGCUUGAACUCGUGACUGGCUGCAGUCCCUUGGAAAGGGAAGGGGCACAUCUGGAAGGCGGGUCCAAGUGCCCAUGAGGCUCGGGGUGAGAUUCCUUUCCUGUGUGGAGAGGUUGCAGGGAACACCUGCCCUGUGAGCAGGUGGUCCCCUACGCUGGGCCCCUGGGCUAUUGCUUGGGUUAGCAAGACAUGCUUCAGCUGAGGCUGACUCACUCUCGUUCCUGGAACCGUCUGAAGGCGGGAGAGGAUGCUGUGGGUAGGCUCCAACUGUAUCAUCUGGGCUGGGGCCGGUAGCAGAUGGUCCUUAUUUAAAAAAAAAAAAGACAUGCUUCCAUGUGGCCUUAAAAUAGCACAGUUUUCACCAUCAGUCGAAUGGGGAAAUGUACGAGCUAGUUGUUCACAUGGGAGUGGGCAUUGUGGACUUGGAAGCAGGAAUGAGGGGCCUAGGCAUCAGCUGUGGCCAAAAGAGACUGUGGUGCCCACCUCAUGCUUGGCUUCACUUUGUCAGGUGGCUUACCAACCCAAGUGAAGCCCAUAGUAAUUUCAAAACCUCAGGAUCCUUCCAAACGCCUCCGUGAGCCUUGGAGAAGCCACAGACCUGAUACACAAGGCUGGACAUGGGGACAGCAGCACUUCCUACUGGCCUUUCAUAGGCAGCUGGGGAAACCCGUUCAUCACCCAGCAAGUGGGAAAGACAUGGAUACCCAACAAGGGGUCUGAAGAUAAUGCUGGCUGGCCCUGAGCUGAUCUCUGUACUUGAGUCUAGAGAAAUGUGGAAGCCAGCCUCUGGUUCUGCCCCAGAGAAGCUCUCGCGUCCGUCCCUCACAGUCUCUGUCUGUGGCAGGUUACUUCCUCUUUGAACCUCAGUUUCCUUAUCUGUCAGAUGGAGCAAACAUGGGGACCUGCCGUGGGAGAACCCCAGCACAAGCAGGUGCUCUACACAGGGAACCUGUCGUGGCCUGUUCUCUCUCUAAGGGAGAAGGGAACCCUUAGCCUUUCCUGUUACUUUAAAUGAUACCUCUAUCCAUACUUAAAUCUCAUUGUGUUUUGGCAGGUAGAAAUGUCAGCUCUGAGGUCCUUGGCCCUAUGCUACCCUCCCUGGGCUGCUGCUAUGUGGAUGUGGAGGGAAAGAAACAGAAGUUGCUGCAUCUUACUCCACCCUAAGAAAGGCUGUGGUGGGCAGCCUGGUCUCCUCCUGCUGUCCAAAACCUGAGAGCCCAGUAAAUAGUAGCCUAGGUCACCAUGGACUUUGAAAGACAGAAUACUUCCAGACACAUGGCAGAGAUGAGAGAGCUGCGAGGAAAACAGGGGCCCCCUGACAUCCAGUCGAGACAGGGGCUUGUCUGAGAUUUCCACUGAGCAAGCCCCAGACAUCUUAAAAAGUCUUGGAUGUAUGGCAUUCUAGUAGAUGUGCAACAAUCAGCUCCGGGAGGUAGGGAAAUUAGAAGUAGCUCUGGUUGUAGCUUGUGCCGAUUUGUAUGGUGUAAACAUCCCCCUGCCUUGGCCAAUUUCAUCACUAAAGGCAAAUUCAGGAAGAGCAAAGCAUAGUCUGCUGCCCUGAGCACCAAGUCUCACACUCAGAGCAUAUGAGAACAGAUGGCCCUUCCCACAAGAGUCUUUCUAUCUGCUCCGAAGAUCUAGAACAGACAGUGACCAGUAUCAGCAAGAAGGCAGAGGAGCAGAAGGGUUGUGGAGUGUUACAGGUUGGGUAUGGAAAGUCCCCCACAGAUGCACAUGUUUGAACACUUGCUCUCCGGUUGGUGGUGCUAUCUGGGAAGUUUCUGGAACCCUUUAAAGGUGAGGCUGUGGUGAUUUAAAUAGGAAUAGUCUUCUUGGGCUCCUAGUUGGGAGUACUUGGUUCUCAGAUGGUUUGGGGAGGAUUGGGAGGCGUGGCCUUGUUGGAGGAGGCGUGUCACUGGGGGGUGAACUCUGAGGUUUCAAAAGACUCCUAGUGUUCUUCCUCUGCCUUAUUGUUGUGGAUAAAAAUGUGAGUUGAUCUUCCUUCCUCCAUCGUAUAUUGUAGCCCUCUGAAACUGUAAGCCAAAGUAAAUGCAUGGUGUUUUAUCACAACAAGAGAAAAGUAACUAAAACAAGGGCCUAUGUGGAGGAAGUGGAUCUCUGGGGAGGUAGGCCUUGAGGUUUACAGUCCUGCCCAACUUCCUGUCCCCUCUCACCUUUGUAGUCCAAAAAGAUAUGAGCAUACAGCCAUGCGUUCCUGCAAGGAGGCUUUCUCUAUUAUGACAAACUCUUCCUUCAAAGUCUCAUCCCAAAUAAAUCCUUUCUCCCUUAAGUUGCCUCUUAUCCAGUACUGGUCAUGAUAACCAGAAAAGUAACUCUGACACAGGGAUGAAUAAGGGUUCAGGUACAGGCUCUUGGGCUGUGCACUAGUUGGCUGUGACUGGAUAGAUCUCCAGCCUGUUGACUUAUGUGGCUUUGGGUACUUUGGCCUCUACAAAAACAGAGAAGAUUCGUAUCUAGUUUAUCAUAUGGAUAAACAUGGUGGUUAAUGGUGAUUAUCAACUGAUUGGGUUGAGAGAUACGUGGGAAGUUAAUAAAAUUUAUUAAAAAUUCAUAACAUUCUAGGUAUAUCUACUAGGGAAUUCCCAGGGAGGACUGACUGAAAACAGAAAGUCUUCCUUGAAUGUGGGUAGCAUUGUUCAACAGGCUGUGGGCCCAGCUGGUGUCAAAGGGGAGAGUCCAGCAUCAUCCUGCUGAUUGUCUCUGCUUCCUUCAUAUUAUAAGUACUGUGUGACUACUCAUUUGUGUGGCAAAUUAACACCUGGCUCUCCCACUGGCGAGGCGAUCACAAAGGCAUGGUAUUUUUAACAAGGUCACUUUUUGCCAUGAGAUACUGUGAACUACAAAAUGUCCCCAGCUUUUACCAACUGAUUGCUAGGAGUGCUCCAAGUGACUGAGACAAGUAUCCAUGCCCUUGUCAGUUCCAUUUCAUCCUAGGAGCUGGGACUGACUAUACAGAGACCUGUCAUCCUGGAUACUGGGAUCCAUGAGUACAGGAGCUCUAUCUUGGUUUGCUCAACCCCUCUCUGGCCAGUGGGAUCUCAAAACAAAAUAUAGACGCUCAGAAAUGCAUGCUGAUACAUGAAUCUGCAGCCCCUGCUUACGGGCUGCUAAGCAAGCUACUGUGACUGCAGGGUGAGAAUUUGAUAAGUAGGGCCUUAGGAACACAAGAUUCCAAAAUCGUCCUAUCUUCCCAGGGCCCAACUGGGCAGGACCCAAAGCCAGCCCUCCUAUCAUUUCACCUCCUCUAGCAUGCCAAAGCCCAGGAGACGAUGUAGCUGCUGCUUCUGCCCUGUAGCAGGAGGUGGGGCUGCUGGUAUUACUCUUUGGCAGUUAGUGUCCUUGUUCUCCCUGUCUACUGCCAAUCUUUUUGAAGGCCUGCCCAGUGAGCUACUGUCCAGUGAGAAGCAAGCUGGAAAGCAGGAGUCAUGCAUAGACAAGCAAGUGAGCACAGCUGUGGGGAUGUGGAGACAUAAAUGUUCCAGGGCAGUGUGCAUAUUCUUAAUUCAAACCCUUUCCUCGGGCUUCUAGCUCUCUCUGUCCACCACACUGUUGAGUUUCUGUUCCGUUAUCCAAAUGCUGGCCACUUCAGGGGUCCACAAGGAGCAUCUGGCUUUGUGUUCCACUAAGUCAACAAGCACAUAGCCAACACUCACAUGUGUCAUGCUGUUUGCUCCAGAAUUGACAUCCAUACUCUCCUUCAUUGGCCUCACUGUAUCCCUGUCUAGUUAUCCCAUCCAACUUGACAAGAUGGCUUUGCACUUGAUGGUGCUAGGCCCUGUUCCCACAGCAUUCAACUGGACCCCCAUGCCCAACCCUGAUCCUGAUGAGCUCACAGCAGCUGCUGUCUCUUGUCAUCAACUUGUUUGAUUUGACUGAACCCCUUAGUCUGUGUCGGGUGUUCUUCAGAGUCUUUCUUCCAGCCACUGUUCAAGAAAAGUCCAUGAAUCUGAGACCUUCAGAGAACAAGUCAGUGUUAUGCAUGGCAAGUAUGGGUAUGAAGUGCAAAUAAUCCAACAAGUGUCAGAGGCCAAAACAGCCUUGCAUUAAUUAGGCUGUGUUGGAUGUGGUAGUGAUGACAAUGGCAAGUGCUUUCUUAGUGCUACAAAAUCCCAAACGAUUUCUAUGAAUUUCUCAUUGAAUCUGCCCAAAUACUACUCCUAAUUCCACUUUACAGAGGAAAGGAUUGAUACACAUACAAAUUAAACCUGCUUGAGGCCAUGUGCCUUUCAAAUGGCAAAGCCAACAUUUGAAUCCGUGGGGUCCAAUUUUAAGGUCAAUACACUGAAAUAGCAAAGAUAAUUCAGGUGUGUCAGUUAUCUAUAGCUGUGUAACAAAUGUCCCCAAACUCAGCAGGCUAAUACAAGAUCAUCUUGUAACAGGAGUCUGGAAGUAGUUGGCUGGUCUCUCUAGAUGAGGGCGUUCAUGGUCAAGACAAUAUGAGGUCAUCUCUGAACUAUAUAGGAGGAACAUUUGGUUUCUAACUCAUUCAUGUGGCUCUUGACUAAAGACCUGGGUGCUUUACCAUGUGGACAUCUCCACAUGAUAAACUUAAGAAGCACAAACAAAUGAGCCAAAAAAGAAGUCAGAGCCAUCGUGCAGCCUUAUCAUAGGACCAAGUGCCACUUCUCUCAUGGUCUGUUCAUGAGAGGUGAACCUGAGUCUAGCCAUAAUCAGAGGAAGGGGAUGCAAGAUGAACAGUAAAUGUGGCGUCUCUGAGAGGGGACCAAGAUACCCUGAACGUGUCAAGCCUGACCCAAAGACAGAAGUCCACAGAGAACAGAUGGAAACUCAGUCCUUAGUCUCUGCAAUCCAACUCAGGAAUCCCAGCCCUACAGACCUAUGAGUGCAUGUGUGUGUG
rnacentral:sRNA from 1 species